UCAGUAGGCGGUGCGGCAAGUCGGGAGUGAAAUCUCUGGGCUCAACCCAGAGACUGCUUCCGAAACUGCUGUGCUAGAGUGUGGGAGAGGCGCGUGGAAUUGCAGGUGUAGCGGUGAAAUGCGUAGAUAUCUGCAGGAACACCCGUGGCGAAAGCGGCGCGCUGGACCACAACUGACGCUGAAUGACGAAAGCUAGGGGAGCAAACAGGAUUAGAUACCCUGGUAGUCCUAGCCCUAAACGAUCAGGACUUGGGGUGCCGCACGUUCGUGCGUCGUCCCGGAGCUAACGCGUUAAGUCCUGCACCUGGGGAGUACGGUCGCAAGACUGAA
rnacentral:rRNA from 1 species